rnacentral:rRNA from 1 species
AUGACGCUGGGCAGCUCCGGCGCCGGAUCGAGCGUCGUCGUUCCUCGGAACUUCAGGCUGCUAGAAGAGCUUGAGCGCGGGGAGAAGGGCAUUGGAGAUGGAACGGUCAGCUAUGGAAUGGAUGAUGCUGAUGACAUAUACAUGCGGUCAUGGACUGGCACCAUUAUUGGUCCUCACAAUACUGUCCAUGAGGGUCGCAUCUACCAGCUGAAGCUGUUCUGUGACAAGGACUACCCCGAGAAGGCACCAUCUGUUAGAUUUCAUUCAAGAAUCAACAUGGCUUGUGUUAAUCACGAGACCGGGGCGGUUGACCCGAAGAAGUUCAGUGUGCUGGCGAACUGGCAGCGAGAGUACACUAUGGAACAUGUCUUGACCCAGCUGAAGAAAGAUAUGGCGGCGACGCAGAACCGCAAGCUAGUGCAGCCUCCAGAAGGGACAUUCUUCUAG